AUUUGAAUAGUUUAAAAAAAACAUUACAUUUUCAUUGUAAAAUUAGGGACUACUUUUUCAAAUA
rnacentral:tRNA from 1 species